CGUGUAGGGCUGUAGAGCGUUAGAGCUGCAGGCUGCGCUGAGAGCCCUCAGUUUUGCAGAUGGGAAAACUGAAGCUCCGCGUGGUAAAGCAACUUGUGAAAGGUCACACAGCAAGUUAAUCGCAGAGUCGAAGUGGACCCGGCCACGUGGUUUCCCGUCUGCCUCUCUCUACUAAACCGCCUCUGUGCAUCUGCUUCCGGCUUGUCCGUCAAGAGGCACUUUGAGCAAAAGCGCUGCGGACAGGUUUAAUGAUUUCUCAAGAGCAGACACGACCCCAGACCUGCUUCUGCGUCCAUUUGAAAAGGUCAUGGGAACAAGGGAGAGAUAAUCACCCCCAGCUUACAAGCAAAUUGAGGCUCAGAGAGGGAAACAGAGCGACCGACUCCAAUUUUUCUGGAACCAUCCCUGUUUUACAACUGAAAAUCCCAUGUCACAGGAACCCCUCUGUCCCAGGCAAACUAGAAUGUUUGGUCACCUGUGGGGAAAAGGGCGUCACAGUGAGAACCAGCGGCUGGAAGUCAGACACGCCGGGUGCUGUCUCUCGCUACCCUCUCGGUCCGCAUCACCUCCACCCAACAGAAGAGGAUGCUGAGGCUCAGAAGCUGUGACAUCCACUCACACAGCACGGCAGUGAUGCUGCAUGCCAGCAAACCCCAGCUCUCCCUGCCCCCGCCUUGCUGCUCUUCCCUGCACAGGGCUGUAAAAUAAUGACACAAAGGCGGACUCUGUCCCGGGAGCGGGUCUGUGUGGUCCUGUCCCCACACCACACCUCCUCCGCCCCCUCCUCUCCCUGGCUGACUCCUCGCCGUCCUUGGACACCAGCUUGAGGGCCCUCGCCUGCAGGCAGUCUGCCUGAUCUCCAGCCUGUUUCAGAAGCCCCGGGGCCUGUGCUUGGGCAACGAGGGUUCUUACGCUUUAGGUUGUAGCAGGCCCUUGUCAGUCUCCCCC
ensembl:lncRNA